UACGGAGGGUGCAAGCGUUAAUCGGAAUUACUGGGCGUAAAGCGCGCGUAGGCGGCUCGAUCAGUCGGGUGUGAAAUCCCUGGGCUCAACCUGGGAACUGCAUUCGAUACUGUCGAGCUAGAGUGUGGGAGAGGGUAGUGGAAUUCCCGGUGUAGCGGUGAAAUGCGUAGAUAUUGGGAGGAACAUCAGUGGCGAAGGCGACUGCCUGGCCCAACACUGACGCUGAGGUGCGAAAGCGUGGGUAGCAAACAGG
rnacentral:rRNA from 1 species